rnacentral:rRNA from 1 species
AGAGUUUGAUCCUGGCUCAGGAUGAACGCUGGCGGUUUGCCUAACACAUGCAAGUCGGACGGACACCUUCGGGUGUCAGUGGCGGACGGGUGAGUAACGCGUAGGAAUCUACCCCUAGGAGGGGGAUAACAGCUGGAAACGGCUGCUAAUACCCCAUACAGGCGCGAGCUGAAAGGAGCAAUCCGCCUAGGGAUGAGCCUGCGUCGGAUUAGCUAGUUGGUGGGGUAAUGGCCUACCAAGGCGACGAUCCGUAGCGGGUCUGAGAGGAUGGCCCGCCACACUGGGACUGAGACACGGCCCAGACUCCUACGGGAGGCAGCAGUGGGGAAUUUUCCGCAAUGGGCGAAAGCCUGACGGAGCAAUACCGCGUGAGGGAGGAAGGCCUUCGGGUUGUAAACCUCUUUUCUGGGGGACGAAGGAGUGACGGUACCCCAGGAAUAAGCCUCGGCUAACUCUGUGCCAGCAGCCGCGGUAAGACAGAGGAGGCGAGCGUUAUCCGGAGUUAUUGGGCGUAAAGGGUACGUAGGCGGCUGGUCAAGUCUGGGGUUAAAGACCACAGCUUAACUGUGGGGGGGCCUUGGAAACUGACCGGCUGGAGUGGGGCAGGGGUUGCGGGAAUUCCCGGUGUAGCGGUGAAAUGCGUAGAUAUCGGGAAGAACACCUGAGCGAAAGCGCGCAACUGGGCCCUAACUGACGCUGAGUACGAAAGCUAGGGGAGCGAAUGGGAUUAGAUACCCCAGUAGUCCUAGCCGUAACGAUGGACACUAGACGUUGGCCGUAUCGACCGUCAGUGUCGUAGCUACGCGUAGUGUCCCGCUGGGAGUACGCAGCAGUGUGAAACUCAAAGAUGACCGAGCCGCACAGCGGUGGAGCAUGUGUAUCGAUGCAAGCGAGACCUUACAGCUGGCAUGCCGACUGCGAACAUGGGGGUGCUUCGGAG